rnacentral:rRNA from 1 species
GAUGAACGCUAGCGGCAGGCCUAAUACAUGCAAGUCGAACGAUAGAUUGGUGCUUGCACUGAUCGAAAAGUGGCGCACGGGUGCGUAACGCGUAUGCAACCUACCUUAUUCAGGGGGAUAGCCCGAAGAAAUUCGGAUUAACACCGCAUAAAAUCACAGCUCAGCAUUGAGUAAUGAUCAAAUAUUUAUAGGAAUAAGAUGGGCAUGCGUGUCAUUAGCUAGUUGGCGGGGUAACGGCCCACCAAGGCGACGAUGACUAGGGGAUCUGAGAGGAUCGACCCCC